rnacentral:rRNA from 1 species
AACGAACGCUGGCGGCAUGCCUAACACAUGCCAGUCGAACGAGACCUUCGGGUCUAGUGGCGCACGGGUGCGUAACGCGUGGGAACCUGCCCUUAGGUUCGGAAUAACGCCCCGAAAGGGGUGCUAAUACCGGAUAAUGUCUUCGGACCAAAGAUUUAUCGCCUUUGGAUGGGCCCGCGUUGGAUUAGCUAGUUGGUAGGGUAAAAGCCUACCAAGGCGACGAUCCAUAGCUGGUCUGAGAGGAUGAUCAGCCACACUGGGACUGAGACACGGCCCAGACUCCUACGGGAGGCAGCAGUGGGGAAUAUUGGACAAUGGGCGGAAGCCUGAUCCAGUAAUGCCGCGUGAGUGAUGAAGGCCUUAGGGUUGUAAAGCUCUUUUACCCGGGAUGAUAAUGACAGUACCGGGAGAAUAAGCUCCGGCUAACUCCGUG